CAACUACUCCCAAACCCUCAACCCCCAAGCCUUCUACACCAAAACCACCAACCACAAAACCACCAGUGACGUGCCCUCCCAAUGCUGAGUACAUAGAGUGUGGCCCAGCCUGCAUCCCCAGCUGUAAGGAACCCUCCACRAACUGCACUGGCUCCUGUAUCAGUGCGUGUUUCUGUAAGCCAGGCUUUGUGUUCAAAGGCAGACGCUGUGUCCCCAUAGAAACAUGUGGCUGUCUGGAGGGAGGUGACUACUAUGAGCCAGGAGAGAUCAUCUUGGUGACGGCUGCUCCAGCUGUGUCGUUGUGCUGGAAACUACAUCUGGACUGUGUGGACAACUCCUGCUCUCCCCAGGAGGAGUGUCGCAACGGAGCCUGCUAUCCUAAAGACACUCUACCUGUAUCGCAUCUGGUGACCCUCACUACACCACCUUCGACAAGAAGAAGUACAACUUCAUGGGGAACUGCAGCUACCUGAUGUCAGAGCCCUGUAAACCAACGUCAGUGCCUCACUACGAGGUGCAUGCUGACAACGAGAACCGCUUCAACAAACCAACCAUCUCCUACCUGAAGGCUGUGCAUGUGUACGUGCGUGGGGUGAAGAUCUCCAUCUUGAAGGGAGGCACCGUGCAGUUGAAUGGUAUCAAUGUGAACAUCCCACUGACCCCAGCUACAGGCGUGUCUGUUUUGAAGUCUGGUAAACACUACACUGUAGCCAUGGACUUUGGUGUGACCGUACGAUAUGACGGAAACCACUACAUGGACAUCAAGGUCAU